CUCGACUUGACUUUGACUUGACAUUCAUGACUUGAGACUUACUUGUGACUUGAGUUAAAAGACUCGAAAUAGCUUUUUUUUUUUUUUAAAUCUGUUUUUGAACGCACGCAAGAGCGUAAUAUAACCACGUGACGCAGCAGGCAAGCAGAGCAGUGGCGGAGCCAGAGGGGUGUCCCUGACAUCUGAUUGGCCACACCAGGUGCCACCCCGAAUUUUUAUUUGAUAGCAUUGGAAGUUUGAUGCUGAUCGACAUCUCAUUUCACCUAUCAAAAGAAGUCUUUGUUUGACGUUUGGUCGUGGCGCCGCUCAACAUUUCAAAUCCAUCAAUCAAUGACAAUAAAGAGUUGAGAGGUAGAGAAGAAUACUGUAACAGACUAAUACUAAAACAUCAAAUUCCAGUAAGUUUUGAGAUUAAACAUCAGGAUUUACCAGAAAAAUAUUUCGAAAGUUACGUCGCUAUAUAAAUUGACGUUAGACGCUAUUAACUGAUUAAUCAGACAAGAGAGAUCGGUUCGUUCCCCAGUUUAGCCAUAAUAUACAUAAAAUACAUAAUAUACCUAUAGUUGCCCUGGCCACCCCAUGUAUAAAACUCUAGUUCCGCCACUGAAGCAGAGGGAGAGCGCGUACUAACUAAUAAACCUCAACAGUCGUGAAGAAACAUGGAAGGCGCUGCAAUAAUUAACCAAAAAUAAUUAAGUUCGGGUACCGGGAUUUUGUGAUGGACAGGACUCACUGCAGUUUUAGGCUGUGAACAGGCACACCCUCCCCUCUUUGUUCAAGGAUUAAUCCUGUCAGUUUAUGCUCUUCACAUGGAGCUGUCACGAGAAAACGACCCAAAUUACACGGCUAUGUGCGACCUCGCUGAUUCUGUCAGCUGCUCCAAGGUUUUACCUCCAGGUUGGGACGUGGAUUUGGUCUCGUUCAGCUGUUUGCUGAAGAGGACAGCAUUCUGAACCAACCAAAAAGUUUACUGGGCAUCAUCUUUUACACUCUGCAGCUAGGCCUAGGGGAAAUGGUGUCAAAUACAGCAGCACAUUUCUUGGUCAUGGCAUCCUGGGUGUCAGUAGCUGGUUCAAUCUAUCUAGCUUUUAUUUUAGUAUUUGUUCUGGAAGAUUUCUGCAUGGUGUGUGUGUCGACAUACAUCAUUAAAUUUUCUCUCCUCUACACCAACCCGCAGAGAAGGAAAGCAGAAAAAAGACAAGACAAAAUGUGACCUUGUGUUUGUGUGUUUAUGUCUGUCUAUCUGUCUGUCUGCUGAAAAAAUCAUACAAGAAUAUAGUGUUCUUUGCAUUUUGUUACAUUAAUUCUGUUUACUUAAAAACUA